AAGAUGAGCUCGCGUCUGAUUAGCUAGUUGGUAGUGUAANGGNCNNCCAAGGCGACGAUCAGUAGCUGGUCUGAGAGGACGAUCAGCCACACUGGGACUGAGACACGGCCCAGACUCCUACGGGAGGCAGCAGUGGGGAAUUUUCCGCAAUGGGCGAAAGCCUGACGGAGCAAUACCGCGUGAGGGAGGAAGGCUCUUGGGUYGUAAACCUCUUUUCUCAGGGAAGAANACAAUGACGGUACCUGAGGAAUAAGCAUCGGCUAACUCCGUGCCAGCAGCCGCGGUAAUACGGAGGAUGCAAGCGUUAUCCGGAAUGAUUGGGCGUAAAGCGUCCGCAGGUGGCAAUGUAAGUCUGCUGUUAAAGAGUGAGGCUCAACCUCAUAANAGCAGUGGAAACUACAUAGCUAGAGUACGUUNGGGGCAGAGGGAAUUCCUGGNGUAGCGGUGAAAUGCGUAGAGAUNAGNAAGAACACCGGUGGCGAANGCGCUCUGCUAGGCCGUNACUGACACUNAGGGACGAAAGCUAGGGG
rnacentral:rRNA from 1 species